AUUGCACGCUGGCGGCAGGCCUAACACAUGCACGUCGAGCGAGCGGCGGACGGGUGAGUAAUGUAUGGGGACUGCCCGCUAGAGGGGGAUCACUACUGGAAACGGUAGCUAAUACCGCAUACUAUCGGCUAACACAUAUGGGAUUAGCUAGUCGGUGAGGUAAUGGCUCACUUAGGCGACGAUCCCUAGCUGGCCUGAGAGGAUGAUCAGCCACACUGGGACGGGGACACGGCCCAGACUCCUACGGAGGCAGCAGUGGGGAAUAUUGCACAAUGGGCGCAAGCCCGAGGAAGACAUGCCGGGUGUAUGAAGAAGGCCCUAGGGUUGUAAAGUACUUUCAGUCGGGAGGCGUUACCGACAGAAGAAGCAACGGCUAACGCCGUGCCAGCAGCCGCGGUAAUUC
rnacentral:rRNA from 1 species